rnacentral:tRNA from 1 species
UCCAAAGUGGCUCAGCGGUAAAGAAUCUGCCUGCAAAUGCAGGCAGACCCAGGUUCGAUCCCUGGGUUGGGAA